rnacentral:rRNA from 1 species
AUUGAACGCUGGCGGCAGGCCUAACACAUGCAAGUCGAGCGAGCGGCGGACGGGUGAGUAAUGUAUGGGGAACUGCCUGAUAGAGGGGGAUAACUACUGGAAACGGUAGCUAAUACCGCAUACCAUCGGAUGUGCCCAUAUGGGAUUAGCUAGUUGGUGGGGUAAUGGCUCACCAAGGCGACGAUCCCUAGCUGGUCUGAGAGGAUGAUCAGCCACACUGGAACUGAGACACGGCCCAGACUCCUACGGGAGGCAGCAGUGGGGAAUAUUGCACAAUGGGCGCAAGCCUGAUGCAGCCAUGCCGCGUGUGUGAAGAAGGCCUUCGGGUUGUAAAGUACUUUCAGUGGGGAGGCGUUACCGACAGAAGAAGCACCGGCUAACUCCGUGCCAGCAGCCGCGGUAAUAC